rnacentral:rRNA from 1 species
CCCUUAGAUGUUCUGGGCCGCACGCGUGCUACACUGAGUAAAUCAAUGGGUAAGGGAACACGAAAGUGCAACCUAAUCUUGAAAUUUGCUCGUGAUGGGGAUCGACGGUUGCAAUUUUCCGUCGUGAACGAGGAAUACCUUGUAGGCGCGUGUCAUCAUCACGCGCCGAAUACGUCCCUGCCCUUUGUACACGCCGCCCGUCGCUCCUACCGAUUGAGUGAUCCGGUGAGGCUCUGGGACCUGGACGGAAAGAGCGUUUCGCUUGUUCUGUUUGGGAAACUUGGUCGAACCUUAUCAUUUAGAGGAAGGAGAAGUCGUAACA